GACGAACGCUGGCGGCGUGCUUAACACAUGCAAGUCGAACGGUAAGGCCCUUCGGGGUACCCGAGUGGCGAACGGGUGAGUAACACGUGGGUAAUCUGCCCUGCACAUCGGGAUAAGCCUGGGAAACUGGGUCUAAUACCGAAUAGGACCACAGGACACAUGUCCUGUGGUGGAAAGCUUUUGCGGUGUGGGAUGGGCCCGCGGCCUAUCAGCUUGUUGGUGGGGUGAUGGCCUACCAAGGCGACGACGGGUAGCCGGCCUGAGAGGGUGUCCGGCCACACUGGGACUGAGAUACGGCCCAGACUCCUACGGGAGGCAGCAGUGGGGAAUAUUGCACAAUGGGCGAAAGCCUGAUGCAGCGACGCCGCGUGGGGGAUGACGGCCUUCGGGUUGUAAACCUCUUUCACCAUCGACGAAGGUCCGGGUUUUCUCGGGCUGACGGUAGGUGGAGAAGAAGCACCGGCCAACUACGUG
rnacentral:rRNA from 1 species